rnacentral:pre_miRNA from 1 species
AUGACCUUGUGAGACCCUCCCACAUCCAUGUGUGUAGGACUUCAAAAGAUUACAUUUAAAUUUGGUACAAAUAUCUAAAAAAGUUAAAUCCCAUAUCUAUAUAAUAACUUUUCUAGAGAUUUAUGCCAAAUUUAAUGGUGAUCUUUUGAGGUCCUAUACACAUGGGUGUGGGAGGGUCUCAUAAGAUCAU